ACUUCCCUCUCCCCUGCUAAGCCGUCACUUACGGAGGGAGGGAGAAGAGCAGCACCGGCUGUUGCCCGCGCCUGGCGACGGGCGGGGCUUCAGCUCGCGCGGCUCGCGCAGCCCCUGACGAGGAGCAGCGGAGACGGCGCGGCUCGGCCCGGCAGGCGACCGGCCUUGGUUCCGCGCGUGCACGCGGCACGGAGGUGGCCACGCGCACAGACGGCGGCUCGGGUCGGCCUCGCCUCCUCGCGCGGCGCGCGCGCUCGCCCAGGCGGUGGCCGCCCGAAGGCACGCACCGCGGCCUGUUCGGCGCGGGUGGGCUCGGCGCGGCCGGCGUGGAGGCGCGAGCGGCAGGCGGCCCGCCUGCGCGCGACUUAGCCCCGGCGGGCGACCGGCAGCGGCCGGCGCUGAGGUCCCGCGGGCGGCUCGGCCUCGCGUCCCCGCGCGGCGCGCGCGUGGCUCGUGGAGCCCCUGCGGCUGCUGCCCUGGCUCGCGUCUUCGCACAGCGCUCGACGCGGACGGGUGUUAUUUUCCAGCUCUUCGGAUUGGGCAUUGCUUACUUCAGUUCAUUCUAGUAGUGGACAGUGCAGGUUGACUACUACAAGGUUAGAAGUGGUUUAUUUUCUAGGGAUGAUGGAAAGGAAGGACCUGGUAUUGCUACUUUGGUUUAUGCAUAGUUGAAUAAUGAUUUCUCUGUAACCAUUAAUAACAUUUAUAGUACGUGUUGUCAUUGCAAGCUGUAUAAAUUGCUUCAUUUUGUCAAAUGUUAUUCAUAGUAUUUUAAUCAGAGUGUUAUAGCUGCAAACACCAUUAUACAUAUACUAUUUGAUUAUUGUAAUUUA